UACGUAGGUGACAAGCGUUGUCCGGAUUUACUGGGCGUAAAGAGCGCGCAGGCGGUCGUUCAAGUCGAGUGUGAAAGCCCCCCGGCUCAACUGGGGAGGGUCACUCGAUACUGAUCGACUCGAAGGCAGGAGAGGGAAGUGGAAUUCCCGGUGUAGUGGUGAAAUGCGUAGAUAUCGGGAGGAACACCAGUGGCGAAGGCGACUUCCUGGCCUGUUCUUGACGCUGAGGAGCGAAAGCGUGGGGAGCGAACAGG
rnacentral:rRNA from 1 species